AGUUUGAUCCUGGCUCAGAUUGAACGCUGGCGGCAGGCUUAACACAUGCAAGUCGAGCGGAGACUUCGGUCUUAGCGGCGAACGGGUGAGUAAUACCUAGGAAUCUGCCUAUUAGGUGGGGGAUAACGAAUCGAAAGGUUCGCUAAUACCGCAUACGUCCGUACGGGAGAAAGGGGGGGAUCUUUGGACCUCUCGCUAAUAGAUGAGCCUAGGCCGGAUUAGCUAGUUGGUAGGGUAAAGGCCUACCAAGGCGACGAUCUGUAGCUGGUCUGAGAGGAUGGCCAGCCACACUGGAACUGAGACACGGUCCAGACUCCUACGGGAGGCAGCAGUGGGGAAUAUUGGACAAUGGGGGCAACCCUGAUCCAGCCAUGCCGCGUGUGUGAAGAAGGCCUUCGGGUUGUAAAGCACUUUAAGCGAGGAGGAAGGUUUUUAGUUUAAUACACUAAAGAAUUGACGUUACUCGCAGAAUAAGCACCGGCUAACUCUGUG
rnacentral:rRNA from 1 species